UGGGUUUUCCCUCCACUUCUAGGUUAGUGUAAUCAUUUUGUUCCUUCUCUUUUUCUUCUUUGUUGGGCAUUUUGAGGUGGUUGCUAUUUCUCUGAGGUCUGGGUAAAUAGAUUUCAACUUUUUGUGUGCAAUGAUCUCAUUUUCUAGGGGUCAAGGUGAGGUAGGUGGGCAGUGGCUGGAUGUGGCCCCUCACCUGUGCUUCGUUAAAGCCUGAGCAGGGCAUAGAGUGGCUGCAGCUGCUUUCCUCCUCUGCCUGCGUAUGGGAUGAGAAAUGAAAACCAGUACUUCUGUUUCUGGCUGCUUGACUCCCCAUUUCCAUAGCUUUGGCUUGUAGCAGGCUUGUGGUUGCCACGAUCAUGAAGACUUGCUGACGAGAAUCUCCUGGGAGCAGCAAGAGCCUCUGAAGAAACAAUAUUUGGAUGGGAAACUUAUGUCCUCCAAGCUGGCGAGUUGCAACACUGACACAGAUUUUUCUUGUCGCUGCAAAACUCUUCCUGUAAAAGAUGUCCCUGAGGAUUUGAAGAACAGUGAUUUGAAGUGAUUGCAUUGGCCACAGAACACCUGAGCAAGCAGAGCCCUGGGCAGCAGCAAGCACUGCCUUCCCUCCAUGGAAGAUGCAGGAGGGCACCUGGAAGCCCCAUAAUACCAUUCGGUCUGUUAUCCAUGUGCUGCAAAUGAAUGGAAAGAGGUAAACUUUGCAGAAUGGUGUGACUCCCACCUUUCCCAGCCACUCGUUCUCCCUGAAAGCUCUCGUAAAGCAAGUGGCUUCUCAAGAAGCACACACAAUUUUGUGCUAUUUCGAAGCAAUCAGACUGAGCUGCAUGAGGUAAUCCUCCCAGAGUGAAUCGUGUUCAAUGAGACUCUGAUGUUUGCUAUUACCCUACUUGAUCCCACCUGUUGAUACAGUAACAUGGUAGAAAGUUUGGGCUCUCUCCAGGUGACUGAAACACUGGGACCAUGAUGGGGGGUGUUGCAAUCUCCUUUGCUGACUGGGACAGCAAAGGAGUUUGUAGUCAGCAGGCAUCGAUCUGAUCCUCGGGUGAGUUCAACCCUUUCAAAUCUGCUAAGGUGGAUUUGCUUUUCUUUUGAAGAGAAUCUAUUAGGCACAAAAGAAGCAAACACAAAGCCAUUGUUAAGUGCCAGGAAGGAAGGGAUGUUUGCACAGUGCGUGGCCUGGCUGAGGUUUUAUCCUUCUUGCUCAAGUCCUUGAAUUAUCUCAAAAAUGAACAGAGCAGAAAAGGCAUUGUUCUGCUCUUUAAAAGCAGUGCAACAAUAUUUCCAACUGUGAGGCUUGGACAGAAACAUCUGAUGAGUUAAAAAUACAACAAACCAAAAACAAAGGGAAAGGCAAUGUCUCCAGUGGAACUAGCUGUGCUACCACCUGGAAAUGUUGGAUACACCUGUAAAGGCUCCAGGAAUUCACAGGACACAAAGGUAAAACGUGUGUGUGCUGUUUGCACUAGGAAUAGAAAACUCAAGGCAAAUUACAGGGAGAGAGCUGUAACCAAUCCCAUACUGCCUGGGGCAGUGCAGCUGAGAGCUGGUUGUGCCUUGGGGUCAUCCCAGACUGCUGCAGCAAUGGGAACGGUCUCAUCUCUUCGCCAAAACAAGUGGCAGAGAGCUGAGGAACACUAUCCACAUUGUUUUAAUGAGAAAGUUCCCCAUGGCUGGUGCUGGAGGAAGGUCCUGCAGCCACACACUGUGCUUUGUUUCAGCUCCCUUCCUAUUCACCUUCUGCACCUCCACGGCUCUUCAGCUGCUGUUUUAUUUCUGGUUUCUAAUGCAAGAGACUGGUUCUCACCAUUCCUGAUGCGCACUGCUGGCUGCUGACCUGUUCUUGCUUAGUCUCCCCAAAGCAUUAGGGGGUGGACUGUAGUCUGGCAGAGUCUGCUCCUCCACCUGCUUCUGAGCUGGGAGGUGAAGGGCUGCAGAGGAUGAGAGUUGUUUUCUGAAAGUUAGAAAAAAACCAAGCCAUCUUUUCAGAUCCAUACAUGCAUCUUCCUUUUCUAUUUCCUCAGUCCUUCAGGUGCAUUUUGAACCCCUAAUGCUAACACAGCAAGUAAAACACAUGGGACGCAGCCUUGCUGACCCCGAAUCAGCAGCCCAAUACAAUUAGGAGGCAUAAACACAUGGUCAGCCAAGGAGUGAAGCAAAGAACCACACGUGGGGGCAUCUUGGAAGACACAAAUGAAGUUCCCUGCCGUGCUUUGGCCAAACACACCACCUCUGUUUGGUGUCUGUGCUGGGAGUGAACAAAGGCAGCUGCAACCUGGACAUCGGUAGUACAUGGGGACACGUAGGAGCAUUUUUCAAGAUGGGAAAAAAAAGAAACAGCCUGUAAAUACUUGUAACCCCGGGGCAACAGAACAUAUAUCCUGGCAACGCGUGUGGGUUUUACUCUUCCAUGACAAUUUGCUUUGCUAUUCAUGAAAAAAUAUGUUGGUGCUGUUACCUUAGCAACUGCCGCAUCACGUUACGGUGAUGCUCUGCCCGAGGUGUGUGGAGCCCUGCCUUAAAGGAGCACGUCUGUCUCUCCUGUGCCUCUCCCCGUGGAAAUGGAGCCCAGCUGAGCUGGGAUCCUCACCAGGGAAGCCUCAGAAGUUGGUAAUGGAGCAGGAGAAAGUGUGUUCAUUUAGAGGUACUGUUUGGAGCUGUGUCUGAUAGUGGCCCAGAGCCACUUUGGACGAUAUGCUGUAUAAACUUGCAGCAAAAAGGAGCUAUUCUCCCAAAAUAUUUCACUUUUUAAGAAGAGAAAAAGGGCAAUGAGCAGACACUGGCAGGCUGGAUGUAUGGCGUGGAGCAUCUUUGUCCAGAUGUUUCCACCCAUAGUGUCCAUAUUAGCAUCUUCCACCAGAGUGGGCCAAUUUCCCAAGAAACAACAGUUUUUGCCUUCCUUUGUGUUGACUUCAAUAGAGAAAUUCAGCCCCCGUUGCUGUAGCUGGAAUCCCUAGGCAAUUCCUACAGAAAGAUACGGUUAAAAUCUAUCACAUGGUGACAUUUCACCUGUAAUGUCUGGAGGAGCCAGGAAGCUUCUUUGAGAAAGGCUCUUGGCUCUGAGUUUACUGUGCCAAGCAAUGGAAGAGCUCCGUGCCUUCAGCUGAGUUCUUUCACAGUCUGAUUACCCUCCCCCUGAGGGAACGGAGCUCCAUUUUCUAAUUGGAAUUUUUCCAACUUCCACUCCACACCGUGGACUAUCACUUCGCCUUUGUUAUCAGAUAAAAGAUCCUUCACGUGCAG
ensembl:lncRNA